rnacentral:rRNA from 1 species
UGGGGAAUAUUGGACAAUGGGCGCAAGCCUGAUCCAGCAAUGCCGCGUGGGUGAAGAAGGUCUUCGGAUUGUAAAGCCCUUUCGGCGGGGACGAUGAUGACGGUACCCGCAGAAGAAGCCCCGGCUAACUUCGUGCCAGCAGCCGCGGUAAUACGAAGGGGGCUAGCGUUGCUCGGAAUGACUGGGCGUAAAGGGCGCGUAGGCGGUUUGGACAGUCAGGCGUGAAAUUCCCGGGCUUAACCUGGGGGCUGCGCUUGAUACAUCUGGACUUGAGUGAGGAAGAGGGUCGUGGAAUUCCCAGUGUAGAGGUGAAAUUCGUAGAUAUUGGGAAGAACACCGGUGGCGAAGGCGGCGACCUGGUCCUUUACUGACGCUGAGGCGCGAAAGCGUGGGGAGCAAACAGGAUUAGAUACCCCCGUAGUCC